rnacentral:rRNA from 1 species
AGUGCGAAUACUGCACAAUGGGAGCAUGCCUGAUGCAGCGACACGCAUGAGGGAUGAAGGCCUUGGGUUGUAAACCUCUUUCAGCAGGGAAGAAGCGCAAGUGACGGUACCUGCAGAAGAAGCGCCGGUCUAACUACGUGCCAGCAGCCGCGGUAAUACGUAGGGCGCAAGCGUUGUCCGGAAUUAUUGGGCGUAAAGAGCUCGUAGGCGGUUUGUCGCGUCUGCUGUGAAAACUCGAGGCUCAACCUCGGGCUUGCAGUGGGUACGGGCAGACUAGAGUGCGGUAGGGGAGACUGGAAUUCCUGGUGUAGCGGUGGAAUGCGCAGAUAUCAGGAGGAACACCGAUGGCGAAGGCAGGUCUCUGGGCCGCAACUGACGCUGAGGAGCGAAAGCAUGGGGAGCGAACAGGAUUAGAUACCCUGGUAGUCCAUGCCGUAAACGUUGGGCACUAGGUGUGGGGCUCAUUCCACGAGUUCCGUGCCGCAGCAAACGCAUUAAGUGCCCCGCCUGGGGAGUACGGCCGCAAGGCUAAAACUCAAAGAAAUUGACGGGGGCCCGCACAAGCGGCGGAGCAUGCGGAUUAAUUCGAUGCAACGCGAAGAACCUUACCAAGGCUUGACAUACACCGGAAACUUCCAGAGAUGGUUGCCCCGCAAGGUCGGUGUACAGGUGGUGCAUGGUUGUCGUCAGCUCGUGUCGUGAGAUGUUGGGUUAAGUCCCGCAACGAGCGCAACCCUCGUCCUAUGUUGCCAGCGGGUCAUGCCGGGGACUCAUAGGAGACUGCCGGGGUCAACUCGGAGGAAGG